rnacentral:tRNA from 1 species
GCUUCCGUGGCGCAAUAGGCAGCGCGUUCGGCUGUUAACCGAAAGGUUGGUGGUUCGAGCCCACCGGGAGCG